ACAGAAGCGACAGGGGUGUUCCACAAUGAAACUCUCUUGGAAUCCUGCCAAGGAAUGGGCACCAAGAUCUUGAACAAGAGGGUGUAGGACUUUUUCAUAUCCAUACUGUUUCACUGCACUAGCUUUGCAUAAGACUGCCAACUGAAUUGCAUGAAGAGAAGACCGAUACUUAGAGGGAAGAUUGGCAAGUACCCAGUAAACACUGAACAUCUUGUGUUUCUUUUUUGAAGUGCCAAGAGGAUUGGCAAUCUCAAAUUCAUCAGUGUAGAGGAUGUUGACGCAAAUGACAGAAAAACAAGGAUUCUGUGCAGGGUUCUUUAAAUUCACAGAGAGGACAAUGAAAUAUCAAAGGGGUUGGUUCUGAUCCACUUGUUUGUUUUGCAUUUUCAGUGUGAUUUCUUGUUAAAUGCACUUUUAGAGCAUUGAAUGAUUUAAAAGAACACAAACAGUCUGUGUGAAGACAAGGAAUUUGAUUGGUUCUUGUGUAGCUUCCAUGUUUAAUCCGAUAAUGCUUCAAUAGCAGAGCUCUCUUUUCACAGAAAUAAACACAGAACUUACACUUCCACUGCAUGUCCACUGCACUCUUCAAAGAAAC